rnacentral:rRNA from 1 species
UUCCGGUUGAUCCUGCCGGAGGUUACUGCUAUCGGUGUUCGCCUAAGCCAUGCGAGUCAUAUGUAGCAAUACAUGGCGUACUGCUCAGUAACACGUGGAUAACCUGCCCUUGGGUCCGGCAUAACCCCGGGAAACUGGGGAUAAUUCCGGAUAACGCACAUAUGCUGGAAUGCUUUAUGCGUCAAAUGGAUUCGUCUGCCCAAGGAUGGGUCUGCGGCCUAUCAGGUAGUAGUGGGUGUAAUGUACCUACUAGCCGACAACGGGUACGGGUUGUGAGAGCAAGAGCCCGGAGAUGGAUUCUGAGACAUGAAUCCAGGCCCUACGGGGCGCAGCAGGCGCGAAAACUUUACAAUGCGGGAAACCGUGAUAAGGGGACACCGAGUGUCAGCAUCAUAUGCUGGCUGUCCAGGUGUGUAAAAUACACCUGUUAGCAAGGGCCGGGCAAGACCGGUGCCAGCCGCCGCGGUAACACCGGCGGCCCGAGUGGUGAUCGUGAUUAUUGGGUCUAAAGGGUCCGUAGCCGGUUUGGUCAGUCCUCCGGGAAAUCUGAUAGCUCAACUAUUAGGCUAUCGGGGGAUACUGCCAGGCUUGGAACCGGGAGAGGUAAGAGGUACUACAGGGGUAGGAGUGAAAUCUUGUAAUCCCUGUGGGACCACCUGUGGCGAAGGCGUCUUACCAGAACGGGUUCGACGGUGAGGGACGAAAGCUGGGGGCACGAACCGGAUUAGAUACCCGGGUAGUCCCAGCCGUAAACGAUGCUCGCUAGGUGUCAGCAUGGCGCGACCGUGUCUGGUGCCGCAGGGAAGCCGUGAAGCGAGCCACCUGGGAAGUACGGCCGCAAGGCUGAACUUAAGGAAUUGGCGGGGGGAGCAC